rnacentral:rRNA from 1 species
AUUGAACGCUGGCGGCAGGCCUAAUACAUGCAAGUCGAGCGAACGAAGGAGGAUUGUGCUUGGCUUAAGUUGCGGACGGGCGGGUGAUGAAUAGGAAUCUAACCGGCCGAGGGGACUAGGGUAAGUUCAGGGAAGCUAAGCUAGUAUCGGUCAAGAGGGUGAACGUGAUGGUUCAUCGGACAUAAAGCUAUUAGCUGAGACUUAGACGGAGUACCUGGCCGGAUUAGCUAGUUGGUACGGUAACGGCUUACCAAGGCGACGAUGCGUAGCCGACCUGAGAGGGUGAUCAGCCACACUGGAACUGAGGCACGGUCCAGACUCCUACGGGAGGCAGCAGUAGGGAAUAUUCCGCAAUGGGCGAAAGCCUGACGGAGCAACGCCGCGUGAGUGAUGAAGGUCUUCGGAUCGUAAAACUCUGUUAUUAGGGAAGAACAAAUGUGUAAGUAACUAUGCACGUCUUGACGGUACCUACUCAGAAAGCCACGGCUAACUACGUG